rnacentral:lncRNA from 1 species
UUCAAAUAACAAUUGAAAAUCUAUCCUAUCUUCAACUUUGGCUUUCAAAUUCGUUCAAAUAACAACCGGAAUCCUGUCUUCAAUUUUGGCGUUCACACGAGGAAGAAUAAUUAGCCCCAAAUGAUGAAUCGGAAGAAGCAUACCACGGCAAGAAUUAACGCUUUGUUGAUGAAUCGGAAGAAGCAUACCACGACAAGAAUUAGCGCUUUAUUUGGAAUUUCAUCAACAAAAAGACUGUUGAGUCACGAAACAGAAGAAAGGGAAAAAUCUUUCUGUUGAGUCACGGAUUUAGUCGGUAAAUCAAAAAGACUGUUGUUCGGAAAAUCUUAUUUCAGGUAAGUUUUCCUUCAUCUGUUUAAUUAUGUUUUUAAUUGAUAAUGCAUUGAGAGAGCUUUUUGUCACAAGAGUUGGAUGAUAAUCCAGUUGUUCUAUCAUUCGUGCCACUGUGUUUUAGUUAUAGAUUCAAUCCCAAAUUAAGACUCCAAUAUUUCUUUCAGGAAGUCAUAAAUUAUCCAAAUCAAUCUCAUUUUUGAAUUAUUGCUUAUUUUUUUCGAGUAAAUAUGAUACAGUAAGUUCGACCAGACGAAGCUUGUAACACGAUGACAACCCUGUUUUUAAUCUGGUUCCUCUCUCUCAUGUGGCUAUGAUAUGAUACCCUUUUAGUUUUAUUGUGUUUGGUGUUGAACUGAUUGAUUUUAAUUUGUUUGGCUGAAUUUUAUUUUAAUUUUUUAAUUUGUCUGGCUGAAUUUUAAUGAUUUAUGUGGAUGUGUACCCACAUAUUCAGUGGGUUCACUUAUGAACUUAUGAGGGGAAGAAGUAAGUACCUCUUUUGAUUUGUACAAAAGAUAGGCGGUUGCAAAAUGCAAAACCCACUAGAAGAUUAACUUGAUUGAUUGCAAUCUUUUGGUAAAAUGUGUUUUUCUUCAAUACAAAAUUUUGGGGGACUUUUGAGUAUUUAAUCAUUGACCUAAACUUGGUUAUUAGCUGAACAGUAUAAAAAUUUACAGGAAUAAUUGAAUAACCUUUUCAAUAAAUUGUACAAUGUGAACUCUAUAUUUUCUGAAUUGCACUAUUUGUCAAUGACUCCCUUAUAUAACCCAGAACUGCUUUGCUUUCUUUCUUUUUUAUUCCUUCAAAAAAGAUUGCAGAGUGGGCUCAAAUCACUGUAUGAUCCGUGUACAGAAGUGCAUGUGAUAAGUUUUUUCUUCCAAAAAUGAGUAUGUGCAAAUAUUCAAGACCCUCCAUGGCAAAGAAGAAUAAUCAGAGCAUUCGAUCUGUAAGCACACCAUGGCAAAGAAGAAACAAACCCAAAGGAUAGAUUCAGAGCAUUCAAGAACAAAUUCUCAAACCUUCAAUCU